ensembl:lncRNA
UUGCCACUCUCCCUAUAAAUAGGAGAGUUCUGCUUUCAGUCCCUGCCGGAUUAUUGUACAACCACCCCCUUGUUCCGAGACCCGUCCUGUACCUCCCUCCCAACCACCUUUCUGCCUUCCCGUUAUCGACCUUCGCCUGGACUGACUCCCCGCUCUGUUAACUGAACCCUGCCUGACUAUUCGACCAUUCUUGCCUUCCGGACUUCGUACCUCUGCUACCCACUAUCCACCCUCCAACAAUACAUUCAUACCCACUAUUCACCCUCCAACAAUACAUUCAUACCCACUAUCCACCCUCCAACAACACAUUCAUACCCACUAUCCACCCUCCAACAAUACAUUCAUACCCACUAUCCACCCUCCAACAAUACAUUCAUACCCACUAUCCACCCUCCAACAAUACAUUCAUACCCACUAUCCACCCUCCAACAAUACAUUCAUACCCACUAUCCACCCUCCAACAAUACAUUCAUACCCAUUAUCCACCCUCCAACAAUACAUUCAUACCCACUAUCCACCCUCCAACAAUAAAUUCAUACCCACUAUCCACCCUCCAACAAUACAUUCAUACCCACUAUCCACCCUCCAACAAUACAUUCAUACCCACUAUCCACCCUCCAACAAUACAUUCAUACCCACUAUCCACCCCCCAACAAUACAUUCAUACCCACUAUCCACCCUCCAACAAUACAUUCAUACCCACUAUCCACCCUCCAACAAUACAUUCAUACCCACUAUCCACCCUCCAACAAUACAUUCAUACCCGCCUACGUAAUUCAGACUACUACAAUAAACAUCAUCAUUGUCCUUUUACCCCGGUGUCUGUAUCUGCUUCUGGAUCCUACCUCUGUCCUGAGUCCCGGGAAUCGUGACACAAUCAGACAGAAAAAGGAAACGCACACAAGCAUAAUGAAACAAACACGUUGUAACGAAUACGCUCUGGAGACAGGAAUAAGUGAAUCAAGCGUGGAGCAGGCGCGCAGAUGGCACUAGGGACGGGGGGACAUGACCCCCCCAGAUUCAUAGAGA